GAUAAACGCUGGCGGCGUGCCUAAUACAUGCAAGUCGAACGAGGGCCUUGUAGCAAUACGGGGCUCCUAGUGGCGAAUGGGUGAGUAACGCGUUGGUGACCUGCCCCGAAGCGGGGAACAACUCCGGGAAACUGGAGCUAAUACCCCAUGUGGUUACGGUGUUCAGAAAUCCGUAUCUAAAGGAGUAAUCCACUUCGGGAGGGGCCUGCGUCCCAUCAGCUAGUUGGUAGGGUAAUGGCCUACCAAGGCGACGACGGGUAGGGGGCCUGAGAGGGUGGCCCCCACACUGGCACUGAAACACGGGCCAGACACCUACGGGAGGCUG
rnacentral:rRNA from 1 species